ACGCGCCACAUUUUAAAACUCAUCCAAUCACCAUAAAAUAGUGUCCAAGGGCGCGAGUCGUUAGAGGUGGGGGAUAUACAAUUUGCAUUUUCAUGGGGCGACGUACCUCCACGGUUAGUCCACCUUCAAGGUGGACUGCAUUUCGAGUCUCCUCGUGAUGAAGAUCACGAAAAAUGUCAGUCGGCCGUGUGCAGGUGCAGUGCGAGCGAGCGAACGAGCGAACGAAUAGCGAAAUGGGCGCCGUUCGCAGGACGCAUUUAUUUGGCUGCAUGUCCCUUAUACGCGCGGGAAUUAAUUAGAAGCUCGCGAGAAGCAAGCGAAUUCCGUGAGCGGGUUUGUUCGAGGCUCGAAUAUGAAAUCGCGGGGGUUAUUUUUAGUCCGGACGAGCGUAAUCCGCCGUACAUACGUCUCUUCUAAUCUGCUAUCGAUCAUGCAUCGGUUAAUUAAAGCUUAGCGCGCGCAAAAGUUGUCGCGCUCGAUUUCAAGAGGCGAUUAAACCGCAACGGUGAUCGAUUAAUCUAAUUAAUGGGACAGUAACGAAAAUACAUUGCGAACGGGAUGGUUUCAUUAAAGUUUUAAUCGACCGAAUUUAUUCCGUACUGUUAUUAGAACAAGUAUCAGAUAAUGUGGACUCCAUAAUAAUUUAUCUCCAGAAUUUGCUAUUGAAAUACGUAAGUACUAGAAUAUAUACAUUUAUCCGCGAGUAAAGCUUUAAAUUUCAACUUGAAAGAAAGUAAAUAAAGCGCGUACGUAAUGCACUGGAUUUAUUAUGUGGAUGCAGUGAAGCGGUACUUCCGAAAACGGCGGGACUUUGAUUAAUAAAUUGUAAUAUUGAUUAAUGCAAUUGUGCAAUAUUGUACACGUUAUUAUAACCGUGCGGUUCUAUGUCACGUUCAAUGAUCAUGUGCACGUGGGGUCGCCGAAGAAUUAGUCGAUCAAUCCCGAGAUGCGAUGAUAGCGGCGCAACGAUGCGCCGCGCGUACCUCGCGCGCCCGUUACGAGGAAGAAAUUAAUAAUUGCACUUAAUCCAACGUGAUUAAUGCUGCAUCGUUGGCGUCUACUACUACCACGGGCUUCCGCGCGAAGUCGCGAGUUGUACCGCGCGUUUCAAAUAACAAACAAGCCCGGAUGAUUCACGACGAUGCCCAUCUUGGCGAUUAACGCAGACGGAAAUAACUACGUAGAAUAGAUAUCUAUUUUUCCCCCCGGGAAGGUCAACGCACGUUUAAUUAAUUUUCUUAUCUGAUCAAAGUAGAGCAUGAAUAUAGAGCGUGGUAAAAAGUCACAGAGAAAUAGACCUCUACGGUAAGUGUGGGAAGCAGCGCGGUUGAUAUAUCCGAUAUUACACGUUGCGCGGAUAAAAUCUAAAAUUUUAUGUAGUAUUUGAAGGUAAAAUAGUCGUUUUAUCCGGCUGCGAGACUCGCUAGGUUUUCCGCUCGUAACACCGGAGGUUACGGUUGCAAGGAGCCAAAUGCGGCACGCACAGCGACCUUUCGCGCCAGCAUAGCGGAGUGCGUAACGGCGGUAAAAAAAGUGCAUUCUUUCGUUAUCUCAUGCGUUACACUGGCAAAAUUGCGCGACAGUCUCGCAAUCGCUUGGCCCGUUUGGCCGAGUAAAGCGUCACCACUCUUUCAAUUAAACGGCUUGGACGAUAGCCGGCGACUAAGCGGCUAACCGACUAACGCCUGCCGCGAAGAUGCGACCGUUCCGAUAAAAUUUUUUAUAGAUCCGCUUCUCUCAAACAAAAAUUGCCCGCAGAUAUACGCGGGGAUAACAAGACCGUGCAUUUGUCGAUUUUUUAUUGCGACAGGCCUAUAUUAAUAAAACGGGAAAGAUACCGCUGUCCAUCCUCUCCUAAUUGAAGUCUACGAAAAUCGUUUUUUGUUUAUUUUGCAUUCAUCCGCGAUUAACUGAAGAAGUAUAAUUAGCCGAUAAGUGUCUUUUUAUGAAGAUAAAUACGUACUCUCACUUUAAAUGAUUGCUUCAGGGUGUCAGUUUAAUAGGAUAAAGUUAGUAAAAAUUUUGCAUAUAAUUUUUUUGCCCAAUAAAAAAAAUGUCACCUUUUGGAAUGUCCAGUUAAGCGUAAAUUGGUCAAAUUUGUUAGGGGACACGUCCGAUAUGUAAUUUGAAGCUCUUUGUUUAUCUCCCUGGAAGCGUGCGAAAGCAGAGUCCAUUAAUUCUUAAAAUUUCGUUCCGGCAUAUACGGAGGAGCACCCUAAUUGUGCGGUACGGGACGAGUUAUAGCGCGUUGAAACCGGGCACGAACCCUCGCCAAUUGAGGCGGCUAGGCGCGAGAUGAAUAAUUGUACUGGCAUACUUAAGAUUACAGAUAAAGAUAUCUCUCUCUCAGAGAGCCUGCCGUCGGUGGUGCAUUUCGUAGCAGCCGUACGGAUCAUCCUACGGAAUUGAUGGGCUGCUAUCAACGCCGACUUUAUGGCUGGAAAUCGCAGCGUCUCGCGCGAUGCUUACAAAGUACACACUGGCGAAAGUACUGCAAGCCGUACAGACCGUUUCAAACGUGCGUCUUCGCAAGAAUCAUGCGAAUCGAAGGGUACUCAAUUGAAGAGCGAAAUCCCUAUAUGUCACAACGUACACGCAUAAACGUAUUAUAUUUAUUAUAUGGGAUGCAAAAUUUAUUAGGUAAUACGUUUAUCAGAUUGUGUACAUUUUGUUUUGCAGGGAUAGAAGAGUCGCGAUUGUAUCGAAAGGAAUAUUCAUGAUACUUCGUGACGGAGAAAUCUGUAUUACGGGCUAUUACUAUUAUUAUAUUAUUUACAUGUCCGGCAAAGUAAUUGCGACGUGGCACGCUUCUUACUCUCGACGAAAAGUUAUUCUUAUCUACAAUAAUAAUAAUAAUAAUAAUGCACAGGCAGAUUUGCACAAUUGUUCGACGAGAGUUUCUUGCGCUCCGACUCUCUCCUAAUUCGUCUUGAUCGUAUUUUCUUCUCUUCCCUUUUAUACACUUCGCUUGCAAGAUCAUCGUCUCGGGGCUCACAGAAAGGAUAUGUAAUCAUAAUUAGCGAUGUUAUUAGUGAGUCAUGGGUGUGUUUUAUUGGUUCGUUUUAUCGGGGCUUGUAUGGCGAGGGUUAACUGCCAAGGAUAACUGGCUGGUAGAUCCUCCAUGGUUGCACGUCUGCAUGAAGAAUUCUGUCAGAGUCAAUUAGAAACGUUCGCGGAUCGAGUCUCGUCGAACGGACCGAAACGUCAUGGCGUAUAAGGAUCUGUAGAAAAUGAAAUUCGUAAUUUAGUUUUGGAAUGCAUAUGGAAAAUCAAUCUUCAAAGCGAUCGCCCGUAAUAUAAGGAUCUCAAUUUUUGUUUUUAACGCAGCUUUUAAUUAGCGGGAUUUAAAAUCCGUCGAUUUCACUUUUACCUCAACCCAUCGUGUCUUAAUACUAAGCAAUUAAAGCAUAGCAUGCUCUUGUAAUUUCAAAACCUUAAAGAGUACUAACAGAGUAAUUAGAAUUUGUCUUAUUUUUUUUACGUAAAUUGGAUUUUAAAAAAUAUCAUAGGAUUAAAAAUAAAUAACAAGCAUAUGUUUCAGAUAAAAAUUUUAUUCAAUCACACUUGCGACAGGAUCUACAAGUAUUAAUUGUUAUUUCACGUGCGCGAGGUCAAUACAUAAAUUUAAAAACUUGUACUUUAUCGAACGCGUCAAUUACAUUUUUCCUCAUAAAGUAUUCGUAAACUCGAUAUAAUUGAUAAAAUACGGGAGAAAUCCUGUUUAAUAUGAAAUAAUGACACAACGGCGCGCCAAAUGAAAAUAUAAUAUUUAAUACAAAGAAGGGAAGUUCUGUUGAAGAUUAAUCCGUAAAAAGUUAAUCCGAUCGACUCUCGAACUCCCGGGAUGGGUUGAUCGAUCGGCCGGAUCAGCCGGGAACACGCGUUGUCGAAAUGUUUGCCGUUCGUCGAGCGCUUAAAGCACUAACAUUACCGUACCUACACGACGCGCGCGCACGCAACCACCGCACAUAAAAUCAUUAUUAUGGUGGCAAUAAACCGUAAACGGACGCUGUAUUUCCACUCGCGCGGGUCUCGGCCCGCAGACUCGCGCGCGCACUCUCCGAAGGGGAAUUCCUCCCUUUUAUUUCCUCCGCCGACGAUGCGUGUUCGCCCGAUGGAAGGCGCGUCCAGGAUGAAGCGAAGGACGAAGGACGACGCUUCGCACGCGCGCGGUCCGUCCGCAGCCGUAGUUAUACUGCGCUAUUAGUGCCUGUCCACGGGCUUUAUGGUGCUGCUCCGACUUGCGUAGGGCUGUCUUCCGGUGGCGAGGUUUCCGACGUAAACCGUAGGACUCGCUCUUGCAGAAAGAAUACGUUCCCGGAAAGACUAUCUCGCGUCAGGGAAAAUAGGUUAUUCUACUUGACGUCGCAGCAUACAUACUGUUAUUCACUUUAACGUCGAAUCUUGUGCUAGAUUUUCAUUAAGCAAUUGCAAUUAAAUUUCUAACGGAGAGUAACGCUGGUGUAUACAUUUAUUUAGCAUAUGUAUGUUUAUACUCUCUUUGAGUAGAAUUUAAAUAAAAGAGAAAGAGAAAUGGAGAGAAGAGGAAGAGUCAAUCUACAUUGAGAGAAGUGAGUUAUUGGAAUACUAUUUAUGUUUGUUUUUAAUUUGACGUUAGAUUUUCGCAGUGUAAGAGCAAUCGAUCUUGUUGCUGCAUCGAAGAUAAUGUUAUUACAUUUGUACAAUGUUUUUAAUUUUAUGUGUGAUAACUUUAACGUCAAACUACAUGUUAUUGUUAUGUUAAUACGACUGUCUCUUGUCAGUUACCGACACAUUCCCGCUUACGCAACAAGGAAUUUCUAGCAUAAAUUUGAUAUUAUUUUGCCAUUAUAUUUGUAAAAUUAUGGAGCUUCUCGAUUUCCGGCGUCUCGCUAAAACAACUUGCAGAGUAUAACGUAUCAUUUUCGUAAAGACUCUUAUUCCACAGCUAUUAAAGCGAAAGCAAAGUGCCAUUAUUUUUCUAAAUGUCUUUUAGACAAGAUUAUUUAUUACACAAUACAAAAUUAUAUCCACGAGUAUUCUUCUUUUACUCACAGUAGAAUGGCAAUUAAAAGUGUGUCACAAGCGUGUCUGUUAUGUGCAUGUGUACAGCUUGAAUUGCAACUCCAAUUAUAGUCCGAGAAUAUUAGCUUUAUUGCAUCCUUAAAUUGAUAUAUUAAUUUGGUACAAUUGCAUAUACAUGGCGUAACUUUAUUUUGCACUGUCAUUAAAUUUCGUUUAUCACGAGGGCAUCUCGCGAACCCAAAUGAAGACGGUCGUGCACAUGUGUGUAGAUGAAAGCGUGUACUGUGUUAAGAGGUUCGUGAGAUCCGCUUCGAGCAAUUUCGCUUAUUACGCCUUAUGUUGUAACGCGUUCAUAUGAAGGCACAUUAUUUCUCUUUUCUUCGGCAUUUUAUUAUUUCUUUUGCUGAUAUCUUCCAUUGUAUUUCUAAUUAGUUUUUCCGGACACAGUCUGUUAAGUGUUUUAUGUUUUCUACGGAUUUACAAUUAAUCGAAAUGCUCUAUCGUUCUCUCUCUCCGUGAAUGAUAGCGAGAGAAACCCGUUUUCUGUUUGUCAAAGAUCGUAUCGGAGUCUCUUCCAUGCGCGACUGAGAAGACUUAUUUUAAAUUAACAACACGCAUGGAUAACAAAUAAGAGGAGACGUCAUUUAAACUCUCUAUAAAUGUCUGCACAAGUUAUCCUCGUGAGAAACUUCAGGUUUGCUCAGCGAGCGAACAUGAAAGUUUCAGAGAAAAAUGAAAUUAGGUAUACUUAUUCCACGCGGCUAAUCAAUGAUUUCCGGAUCGAGCUCAAGUUAUUCUGUCAAUUAUUGCUGUAGCAUACGCAUAAGGACAAAUAUAUCCUACCGGGAACGAACAAUUUCUUCGUACAAUUUUCUUGCGUGUCUGAAAACGGUACACGCGACUACAGGAAAACUUGGCGCGUCCGCAUGUCUGGCAGAGCCCGAGUUCAUGCAUGAGAGACUCGCGCAAAUAGCGUGUAGAUAAUGUGCGCAAGUUUCUUAAUCAAAUUUUAAUUGCCGACCGCGAUUCGAUAAACACGCGCGAGAUAAUUCCAGUCUUUGAUAUCGGAUUAAAAAAAAAAAGAAAGGAUAACGUCUACCUCCGCGGCGCGAGUAAAAUCGCAGCCAAUAGAGAACGCCCCUCGUUAUCCCAUCUGCUCCUCUCAAUUAAUUAUAGCUAAUUACUGAUAGUGAUAAACGACAUUAUGAUAUUUAUGUGGCCAGACGAUAUUUACGAUCUGUGCGUGUCUGUCUACUCCGUUUCCGUUGCAUUUGUUCCACGUUCAAAGACAGUUUUAUUUCAACAGAGCAUUUACAAAAAAAGAUGCUUAUAAGAUACGUCAUUUGAAAUAUCAUAAAAAGUUAAUAUAAAUUUGUUACACAGUAGAUUAAAUUUUUGUUUGAUAAUGUUCUUAAUGUCCAUGGAUCAGCUAUAAAAUUUUAUUCUACCAAUGAAAACAACAUUUUUAGAUCGGUGUGACAGCUAGAAGAUGGUACCAAAAUAUUUAAAGCUGACACCUAGCAUUUUUGUAUUAUCAUUGCGUCAUGCACGGCGCGUUUUAUUUCACGUUUCCUCGAUAUCCGCGAACGCCAACGAGAAUUCACGAGAGUAGAAUCAUACGUGAAAAAAAGUUCGACAUUCCGAAUCGCCGCACUCUGCCCUCCGCGUCGUCGAUGCUUCUAAAGAAAUCUCGGCUUCCCAGCUGAGCCGGACGAGAAGCGCGCACAAUAAACGCGUUGUUCACCGCAUUCCAUGCGCACGCACCACUCCGCGCGUACACGCCGACGCGCGUAUCGCUCGUGGCAAUGUACGCGACUUGUCGGUUUGACGUCGUACGCGCGUUACUCGAUAUUAAUUGUAUCGUUGUACAUAGAUAAUUGCAUCCGAUUAUACCUAAAAGCAGCGACCGAUUGACAACGCCAACAUCGUCGGUACGCGCUGUACGCACGUUGUGGCCGAUAGGAAGGUGGCAUGAACUGGUACACACGUAUUCGUAUCCACGGACGACUGGCACACGCGCGUAUACUACAGAACGAUGGCUUUGAGUCAAACAAAAUGUACCUUGUUACAACUUCUUUCACCGUUGUAACUGUAUGUAUAAAAAUAAUAAGCCCAUUGCUUGAAUACAUUUGAAAAUCCCGUUUUAAAAAAGUGCGAGAUGCGCGCGUACAUAUUUUAUUUCUUAAUUUGGAAAACUAAUGGAAAAGUCGCCUCUUGAUUCUUUAUUCAACGAAUUAUAUACUGCACGCACAUAAAUUUCCUUAACAGACCGUGAAUCUUUAAUAGGCGUAUUACUUAGCCAUUCUUCAAAAGUUAUGUUACUCCUAAAGCGAUUCAUCACUCGUAUUUUAUUCUCGAUUCGCGCACCAGAUCAGACUCGUCACUGACGCGCGCGCGUACGCGUAUUCGUGCGAUGGUACAUCGGCACACAAUCGUCAUCGCCGUCGUCGCCGUCGUCGUCGUCGCCGAGGAGCACGCAACACGUGUGCACGCACACGCACGUGCUCCGGUCGGAGAGUCAGGUUACGCUGCACGGAUCAGCGACUGCCGAGAUACGUUACAUGCGCCUGACUUCUGCGUUCUCCGCCUCGGCCAUACGAGACGGAGAAAAGGGCCCGUGGAACGAGAUCCGAAGGUCGAAAGCAUCGAAGGAGAAAUGGCGUGCGCGGCUGUAUCGCCCAAGUGGACCUCGCACUCGAAAUAGCAUUUGAAUGAAACAUCCUUAAAUCCCACUAACAUCACGUUCCGUUCAAUUAGGGCCAUUUUUAUUUACCGAUGAACAACUUGAUGUUUCGUAUUAUGUUUUAUGGGGGAGCAAGAAAACGUCUUUUCCUCCAUCCAUUCCCUUCGCGAAGAAAAAUACUUAGCAAAUAAUUAGCAAAUAUUUUAUGCAAAAUUAUUUUUCCCAGUGUUCGUUUUUAAUUUAACCGUGCUACAACAAAAACGCUAAGAAAUGUGCGCAUUCGCUAAGGAGAAACGAUCUCACACGUUUCUAAAUUCAAGCAUAGUUAUUCCGAGAUACGUAUUAUAGCCGCGAGAUCGCCGUAGGUUUCAGUUGCAUCCCAAAUGCAAUUCCCAUGCGUGCACGCAUAGGCGCGAAUGCAGUAGCGAUUGGAGAGACAGCGAUUGGAGAGCGUAGGCGCAAGUAGGCACCCGAAGAAGCGAGAGGAUCGUGUAAUCGAAAUGUAAUUUAUGAGCACAGGAUCUUUUGAGGAGGUCGGACAAACAUCUCCACGUUCACAUGCAUUUGCCACGUUGCACUGCGCGAAUGCAUAUUCGCGCGUUCACGGCUGCAUCUCCGGGCAUUAUUGCGCGGGUGUGCGAGCCGUUUCUUUCACCUCUCCCCCCCCCCCCCCAUUUCAUUCUCUUCUUCUCGUUCUCUCCCUCACGAUUGAAACGUUCCUGGAAAGCGCGGAUGAAUAAGGUCGGUAUAACAGCGCGGAACGAGACGUACGGUUGUGUCUAAAUGGCGCUAUUAUCGCGGCCCCUGUGAAUUGGCGGAGACCGUGCACGUGUAAAUGGGAUUACGGUAUCCGCGGAUGAGACGCGCGCGAGCGUACGAGAUAAUGCGAGAUCAUAUAUUACCGAAUGCAAAAUAAACGAUGCGCCGCGCACGACGCUUUACACUUCGGCGCUGAUAAUUUAACACUUUGGCAGCUGCGCUGUGCCGCUUGCCGGCCGGCCGCGACAGCACUUUAAUUGCGGAUAUUAGUUUGCGACGGAUUGUCCGGGAGUUACGACAACUGCGGAACUUUCGAUUUUUCUUCGCGUUUUUACGCGCCAACUAACGACGUGGUUUGCCUCGUUAAGUAAGCUAACGGAGGCUGAUCGAAACACAAGUUUGUUACGUGCCAAGUUACGUAUAAUUCUCUUCUUGUUGACUUCUUGACCAAAUUAUCUCCAUUUAAGAAUAUCAUAUCCUUUUUAAGGAAAAUUUCAAUUCUUGCUUUCUCUCUCUCUCUUUCUUAAGACAAUUUAUAUAGAUUUAGGACUAAUUUUUUUCUGGAUUUUUUUCUACGUGUACGUAUAAAGUUUGAAAUGCACGAUUACUUACUUAUCAUUCUUUAUAGGAAUUUUUGUAAGUCGUCUAUUGUUUAGAGAUAAAAAAGUUUUGCGUAACGGUAUAUAUGUGACAUGAAGAAAGUGGGAAGUUUUCACUUUUACGACGAUAGUAUUAAUAAAGUUUGUAAUUUUAUGAUAGGUUUCUCACGGGUCCUCGUACAUGACAUUAUAUUCUUGUCAUAAAAUAUAAUUAUAUAUAGCAAGAUGUUUGCGCGUAACGUCGGAUUACCGCAAAUAUUAUUAACACCUCUCAGGCAAUUUCUAAAUGAGCACUUAAUUUAUCAAUCAUCUUGUUAGAAAUUCAAGAAUGUAAUAUACGCCUAGUAGUUUUCUUUUUUUAUAUAUAAAAGAUAAAACUAAUUGCAUAUAUUUAAGUGCUUUCGAAUGUCAAUGUCUUAAAGAAUAUCUUCAAAGUUUAUUUGGAGAAAAUAGUUUAACACAAAUACACUCUGUUUAAUUAAUACUUUGAAGAAGCAAAUGUGUAUUUUACUACAGAUAUUUGCAAGACUACUUGACUACCGAUAACCGUGAGAACUGCUUUCGCGGAUCGCUGCAAGUAGAGAAAAACAAUCUCCCCUAUCCAAUCGGAAGCGCCGGAAGCAUGAAAGGAUAUUCUCGCGUUGAUGCAGCACGGACAAUCGAAUCGCCGAGUCACGACGUUUCGGUGAUCGACGCGCGAUGCGGCGCUUUAUCGCGAGCUAAUUAAAAAGCAAAUUAAUUUCAGCCUCCCCUCAAGGAAAUCUACUUUGUAUAACGAGUUUUCUGUACGCGCCGUAAUAACACGCCCGUCGUUGCCGCGUCCUGAAGUUUUCAACCUGUCGGAUCGCUCGGCAUGCUCCACGUGGCAGAGAAACGCCAUGGAAACGGAUUCCGAACACGAGCAAUCCGAGCACUUUUGACAAGCCAUUUCUUCCCGCCCUGAUAAACGAACACGGGAAAUAUUGUUUUCCUCCGUCACGGUGUUAUGUCAUUAGCGUAUCAAUGGUACCUGCACACAAAAAUUUAGUAUCAAUGCAACAAUCAUUGUUUUAAAUGUAAGCAAGUCUUUAUAUUCGAAGUCUUUCAAAUUUUUAAAAGAAGGUUUUACAUUUUGGAUUAUGUAUGAGACAAUAAUUGUAGAUUUGAGGCUAAUUUUUCUGUGUAUAAUUAAAUAUCGGAACUACAUGACUAUUGUUCCAUACGAAUUCUCCAGAAUUUACGGUAGGUUAAAUAGACUAAUAUAUAAAAUAUCGUUCAAAUAAAUAUUAAAGUUAAUCACACGUGGCACAUAGAGCCGAUGCUUUGUCUCUGUUUAGAAACGGAACUGGGGAGAACGAAGAAUCCUGCCCGCUUCAGAAGCAGCGUUAGAAAAGGACGUAAAAUCCUCAACUAAUCUCAACAAAUGUCUGCGGGAACGGCUUGUAAUUAAUUACGAAUCUUAUUCUGGGAUUUUGCGAGACGAUAGCCGCUCCCCGGCGAUUAAUUUUCCACUCGCCGCUCAGCAACAACUUCCGGCACAGCUGCCACGUUCCACUUGUAGUAAUAGCACAAGUGUGUCUCCGCGUCGAUGCGACGUAAAGUUUCUCUCACCGGCGCGGCGUGGUGUGCGGGGUGCGCAGCGAAAAUCGACGGGCGCGAGAUUAGCGGAAAGGCCGAGCCCGAGCACGGGUAUUCCGUCCGCCUUCGCCGGCAGCCAUUAGAAUCACCCCGGCACGACAACGUAAUUUCGUAAUUGGGUCUCUCGUUAAUUAUCCCGCCGUCGUGAGUAGUUUCCAGUUGGGGAACGGCAUGGAGAGGGCUUGCUUUUUCUAACAGGUGCGCGCCCUGCAACUCCUUCGCGACUCCCAUUAACGGCAUGGCAGCAUCUCGUGUGCGCGCGCGAGAGAGAAAGAGAGAGAGAGGGAAAGAGAGAGAAUCUUCUUGACUUGAAAUCUCGACCAAUCUCACCUUCCGCGGGGCUCUCUUUCGAUCGGUCCCCGCGCGCUCCGACGGCGGCGGCUGCCGAUUACCAUAAUCAGCGCGGAUUAUAUCCUUAAACUAAUUACACGUUUCUACGCGCACACGCAUACAGGCCGGUGAAUCCAACCGCCCGCAAUUGACCGCGCCUCUCUCGCAUUAAUUUCAUCGGAACUGCGCCGGGGCCAGAAAAAGCCAUCGUCGGAAUGUUAUCUCGUUUGGUCGACGCGUCGGGGGAAGCUCCGUCUGAUAAAUCUUUGUUAAUUAGGCCUGUCGACGAAGUUGCACAGGGGAGAUGUAGAUUUCUGUGGCGGAAUAUAGCUUUUGUUAUCCGUGCAUACGAACCAAGGAAAAUGGGAUGGAACGUCUAGUAAUCGUUUACUAAUUACUCCGUGCGAUUUUAAGCGCGAGAGGAUCCGUAGUAAUAAUGCUUCGUGAGAAAUAUUUCGGGAAUGCAGUCGACGUUGCGUAAAAGACGAAGGAAAGAGAGAGAAAGAGAGAAUACCGUGUUGAAUUUCUAUUUACACCGAAGAUCUCUCUUCCUGACACAUAAUUCCGGUUUACAUCGAUUCUUACACUUCGUUCCGUUUGCUGUGUAAAUAAUUCGUGCUCUUGGAAAUUCCGAGUUAGGAGUCAUCAGUGCAGUGUUAGCUUCCAAGCUACGGGCCUCGUCGAUAAUUAUCGGGCACAAUGCGGAGACUGUACCGGGGGAUAUGAUGCAAGUGGCUGACAUUGCGUGCACGCACGCACGUACGCACGUGUACACUUAGCGAUGGAUUCAAGCAGAGAUCAAGCAGCGCGUAAUAACAUGUAUGAGUAUUUUAUGUAUAUAAAGAAUUUUUACAUUUCAUUAAAAGUGUAACGAUAAAAGUCUUAUCCUCGUCUGCAUCACAACCUUCCAUCAGGUCCUUCGCCUUGCCCGAGGAUUAUCGAUGAGCUCGGAAGCUAAUAAUUUAAUAAACGAGAUAUUUGUAGGAGCCACAAGCUCUUACAUGUAUGUUUAACGAUUGCAUUAGGCAGUAUAUCAUUUCCAGUAUCGGAGUAAUGCCGAGUCGAUAUUCCAGGAAUACGUGCCAUUCCGGGAACACGCGUUUCGCGCGACAUGACCUGAAUAUAUACUCGUUCGCGGCACUCAUCGUGACUUAUGUGACUCAUUACUUUAAUAAGAAUUAUAAUGCGGGUUGCAGCCAUUGCUGACGCACGGACAAGCGUGGCUUUGAUGCGUGCGUAGACAGGCAGACGUAGGAUAAUAUUGCUGCCCGCUGUUGGUAGCCACCGCCGCUGCAUUCCGGCCGCGCCAAUAUACCGUCCCGUGCAGAUUAUUCAAAUAAAAUUGUGCAAUUGCACCGGUAUAAUAGUCGCGUUAAGAGUAACUGAUGCGAGCUGAAAUUCCACGGCGUUGCCGUAAUUAUGAUAUGUCACCGUCGCGUCGCGGAGACAAACAGGGCGCUCCCCGUGUUGUGAAACAAACGCGUGUACCCACAUGUAUAUUUUAUGUCGGUACAGCGGAUACGUGUGCGCGGAUAAAUAUGUGCACAUUCGUCGAAACGUUUUACACCUCGCUCGCGCGUCGAGAAUAUUUCAUCUCCUUUGACACGGAUACACCGCGAAACAUGGGCCACGACGUCCAUCGUUCAUCGGCAUGAUAAUUAGGACCUCCUCUUCACUGUUGCGUUUUGAUGCGGAUCUCGGGUUGUGAGUUCUUGCAAAAGAUUACAAAUCUCGCGUCCGAAUAGUACAUCACGGCGUACAAUCGGAUUUGGAGUUACGCGAUUAUUCAAAUAAAUAUAAAUAAUCACUCUUGUGCAAGCUUAUCUUUUUAAAAAUGCAAUACAAUUUGUUAUUUGAAAUCGAUAACAUUUUCGAGGCGAAUAAAUGAAUUUACAUAACGACUCCAUACAAAUGAAACUUUAAUGUUUAAUGUGAAAAUCUGUGAAAGCUUGAAGCUAACAAUAUUUGUGAUAAAAAUGUCUUCGUGAUCUAAGAAUAUCCAAAUGUCCGAGACAUUACCGGAUACUUUACUCUCUCGAUUCCAGAGACCGGGGCAGUCCUUGGAGUAGCUUUUCGCUUCGCGAUGGAGAGAAGAGGAGAGAGCCCAAGGAUAAAAUUGUUCAAUGAUCGCGCGUGGGUACGAGAUAUACCUACGGAUACUCUUUCAAAACGAUAAAUCAGCGGAAAUCGUAUAUCAUUCGAUGCAACGUGAACCAGUUCGAAAGUCGUCUUUCUAUACGCACCGGACGUAUGGCCCGAUAUGCACACGCAUAUAUUCGUAUAAUGUAAGGUGUUUCUUAUAAAGCCAUCGUGACACGACUUUUUACAAAACUGUUAAAUCCUCGGUGCCCUUUUCGAAGUGAUUCAAUCCAGGAUGAAAACUUUCAGCGCCGAGAAGCGACUUUAAUUUAACUUUAAAAGUUACUCGGGUUUAUAUUGAAUUAUUGGUAUGUUUUUAAUGUCCAGAUAAAUUUUUGAUCUCUUCUAUCUUUCCUCUCUCUUUGUUCCGUUACGUCAUAAAAUGUAAAAUAAAGUCGAUUGUGUGCGUACACAGUUAGAUGGAUUAAAAUUUUGCGAGGUAAUAAACGUCUUUCGCCGCCACAUAUCGUCACGUGUGCAUAAAUUUGAUAGAUGCGGCGCUGUAGUUGUAACGAAAAUGUGUGUCACUGGUGUCUAUGUCGGCUAACGGCAUCUCGUCCCGAUCGUCGGUGACGGCGGGCCACUGUAAUAAAUAGUAAUAUUCUAUGCAUCACGAGAUCCAUCAUUGUGUAUGUGCGUUCUCAUACAUAAAUAUCACUCAUACACCUACGCAACGUAUCUUGAUCGCAGGGAUCGUGUCAGGAAUGUCUUUACGCAUGGUAAUUCAAGGUUAGUACCUCGAUUGAAGUUACAAAAAAAUCAACGUUUAUAAGUGAUGUGAAACGGUAAAGUCACAUGUUAUAUAAUCGAAUCAGUUCUCCUGCGAAAAUUAUAUGCAUCAUAAAUAGGAAUAAAUGUUCCGUAUAAUAAAAGAAUGCGAAAUUUCAAAAAUUCACAUUCCGUUGGAAGAUCUAACGCAUACAUUUAAAAAGAAUGGAUUUUUUACGUAGUUUUUCAAGCAAAAAUUUUUUUUCUGAAAAUUUAAUCCUCAACAAAUAUUGAGAUAACCAAUUUUAUUGAUUAUACCGCGAACAUACAUGUGUGCAUGUUCACAAGGGACUGUAGAUAGAGAGGUUAUUACCGUGAAUUUGGUAUCACCAAUAAACCGCACGUAACAGGGGUUGUCGAUUGAUUGAGGUGAAUAUUGCGGCGUCACGUGUUGCGGCUCUGAAGCUUUCGAGACGAGCGUCAGUGUGCGAGUGUCCGCAUCCACCGUCGUACCUUCACGCUUACGGAGGAUUCUCCGGGUAAUCAAUGGAGAAUCGGGAACGCGCGCCACGAGAUGGUCAUUAGAGGUCCGCGUGGAGUGCCUCGGCCUAUCGCAGACAGACAAGUGGGUUUGGGACUUCAAGCGGCAUGACGAAUAACCUACAUCAAAUGAAAUUGUAUUCUGACGAGGCAGUCAUCGGAUACGCCCGCGCCCAUCGACAAUCGUUAGAUCAUGUUGCAAUCAUCCGACAUAUUAUUGAAAUUUAUUUUUCUUUUUUUUUAACAUUAACCUUUAUUUUUAUAUAAAGAAUUUGCUUGGAUGAACAAGAGAUCGACGAUCAUUCUCUUUACUUGUUUUUUGUAAAGAAAGGAAGUGUCAACAAAGAAAUGUCAAAUUCAUUAAACAAGCUAUGUGUUAACGCAACAAUAAACUUUUCCGUUGCAGUAGUUACGAAAUCAAUAGAGUAAUUGUUACAUUAACAAAUAAAUGACUGUAGAAAAUCAAUAAAAGGAGCAAAUUUUAAAUGUUAAAUUAAUAAAAAUAUAUAUUUCUACUAUGAAACAAACUAAAGACAUAAUUUUUUUAUAGUCAGUAAAAUAUACAUUCUUAUUAAUUUGAAAUUUAUUUGUUUUAUUGGCUUUUUGUACUCAUCUAUUUGUUAAUUUUUAUAAAAGCUAUUUUAUAUAUUCGCUUGCAUUAAUUGCAUUGUUCGACACAAACAACGACUCAGACUAAGUGAUUUUUAUAAAUUUUUUUUGCAAGAACGAAUUUGCAAGUAAAAUUACUCUAUCAUAUCGCAUUUUUAGAAAAUUAAAUUUAAAAGUAUCGAAAAUAAUAAUUUUGAGAACCUUUAAGUUAAGAUAACUAAAAAAUAUGACAUAAGAGAGCAAUUUUGCUUACAAAUUUAUUUUUAGCGACAAAAAAUUUAUAAGAAUCACCUAGCUCUACAAAAAAGGACUAAAUAAAGUUUAAAUUUAUAUGUCGAAUAGUAUUACGUGACUCGUUCAUUUGACUCGUUUGCACUUUGUCCGUUGAGAUUUCUUCGAAUUAGACGAUGAAGAAGAUUAUUGUUGAUUUCAGUGCAGCGUUAUUUCUGCGAUUAAAUCGAUUAUCUAACUCGAGAAACAUAACACAGGAGUGUAUCGAAGUUUACGUAUCCAGAAGACCUCCUUCGGUAGCUAAUCCGAGACUAACGAGACCCCACCACGUUCGUUAGAGCUACGUAAUCCGAGUACGUGGAUCAGCUAACUACGGCACGGUGAUUACCGUGAACGCAAUCCGGUCUUUACGCGUUACGAGCACAUGUCCAACGUCGUUGUAACAGAUCCUGAGUUACACUAGUAUUUAGAAUCGUUAUCGCGCACAAUGUGGAUAAUUAAUAUCCUUGAUUCCGCGCGCACAUUCUCGCAAAAGUACUAUAUAAAGCUCCCAUAACAGCAUCAAAAAGAAACGCUCGCAUUAAAUGUGCGUGGGAGUCGAUCGUUAAAAUGUUCCGUCGUUAAAAUUAUCAAACCGAAUAAAGAGCAGUAGGUAACUGACGAUUUAUACAUCGUAUGAAUAAUAACGAUAACUCCGUAGCCGAAUAAAUUUCAAAGAGAAUUAUUUCCAACCAUUAAACUUGGUUAUUACAAUUUUUUAAUAAUUCAAUUUGUAUUAACGAAUUCUUUAUUAUUCGUAUUAUAUCAUGUGUAUCCUUUUACGGAGAUGCGCUUUUUAUAUUUGCCCUUACACAGAAAAAAAAUUGUUACAAUACUAAACCAUUGGUAACAACUUUCUAUGAGAAAUUGCUAUCAGCGAACGAUAUUCGUGGGCCUUUAUGAAAAUUUCACUCGCGCGAAACUCGUUACGAUUUACGAUCGUUUUGUUACGUGCAAAUUGCGCAAAACGUACGAACGAUAUUAUCACGUGUAAAACAUCGAGAUAUUUUACGAGUCCGACAGCUAUCUUCGAAUUGAAUUACGUAAUUAAAUUAGGUUUAUACAGGAAAGGUUAUAACUUUUGAAAAUCUGUUUUAAUAUUUGAUACCAUAUAUUUAGCAUGUAACGAGCACGAAUGCAUUUCACAUAUCACGAAAUUAUGAUGGAACGUUGAAUAAAACAGAGAAGAGUAAAAGUGAAUUUCAGAGUGAGAAAUUAUUCAUAAAAGCUCUUUUAAAGCUUUGGAAAAAAACUCUAUUUUGCUCGGAUCUGCGAUUUUUUAAAUAAUUUUGAAACAAUAUUAAAAUAUUAUUUUUCAUCAUUUUUAUUUAUCUCGAAAUUAUUUUUUUAUGUUGUUUUAACAUCUGACAUUCUUUAUGUUAUCGUAUAAUCAUUUAAAGAUUUGAAAAGCUUCCAUUCUGUGCUACCUGAUUUGAGAAUCCAAAUAUUUUAAGGUCACAAAAUCGUCGGUCUUAAAAAUGUCUAUGUGGUAGUUGAUUAUGAAAAAUCUUUAUGUGCGCGCUGCAACGGUAUCCCUUACUCACAACAUUUCUUUCCGCGAGCCACCGUGCCGGGCAAAUUUAAAAAUACACGAUGCAAGAAAGUACCGACCCGGCUGCUUCUUAAUGAUGACUUAUUCACUUUGUUUAUUCAGCGUCGAAAUUUCGCGGUAUGUGUUUACCUCGCGCGAGGGUAUAUUCAUAAUUUACAUCGCAUUACGGUGUAAUUGUUGCACCGCGGGAAAGUUUUGCGCGUGGAAAUUUUACGGUGCGUAUCUCCCGAUAAUAAAACUACUACAGGCGACGUUUCUUUUUUUUUCAUCCGUGAAAAGUAAAAAUUCCGCAUAGCGGAAUUUUCGGAGUAAUGAAACGCGCCGGGUCGAGCGCGUGCAUCCUCGAGAAGACACUUCUCGCUCGUGAGUUCUUGCCACGUCACAUGAGUUACGCGCGUUCUUUUACAUUUAUUUACACACGGCAACACGGGGGGACUUAACGGGCCCUACACGGGGUGACCACUUGUCAUUUCUCGUUGGGCUUUCAGUGGAAACUCCGGCCGGGGUACGCUAGCUCUAACUAUUACUACGGGUGAUAGGUAGUUGACCUUUUUAUCUGUGUGCUCUUUCACGGCGUUUACGUUACAUAAUUUUUAACUUGUUCCGCAGAACGCAUAUAUAAGAUUUUUUGCACGAGUGUAUCUAUGAGUUAAAAGCACUUUGUCAAUGUCUUUAAGACAUAAAAUUAUAUGUUUAGUUCAACAUUUUCCGCAUCUUAAGACUUAACUGUUUACCCCUUUUUUUUUUUAAUGGUCGUGGCGAAAUAUAUUAUACAUAUUGCAUGAAUAAAAAGUACAGUAUGUUACGAGACGUUUUUCAAUAAUAAAUACAACAGUCUCGAACGAUAAUCCAGGCUCUGCAUCCACGACGGGCAUUAUAUUAUUUAUAAUUUGCGCUUAUGGUAUAUGCUUUUAAUAGAUUUUCACUAGAAAUUCAAGUAGUUGCUGUGUCCUCAUCUUCCCUCUUUCUCUCUCUUUCUUUCUUUCUUUAUUGGCAGAUUUAUUUAAGAUGUUCGCACUGCCGCGUGCGUUCGCCCAACGUCUCGCACCUCGUCUAACGGGAUUUCGCGUAGAUGAUACAAAAAUGCCCAUGCAAGAGAAAAGAACUAGCCGCGCGUGAACCCAUACAUUCUCGCUAAUAAUAAUUACGACGAGGUUCCAUUCGAUCGGAUUCACGCGUCCGUAACGAAUUAAAUUGAUUAAUUGAUGUAAUGUGUAACGCGACAGGUGAGAAAGAAUUUCUAUUUUAUAUAAAUUUAUAGCUGCGAUUUAUUAUUUUUGCAUUAUUAUAAGAAAACGCGGUGCAAAAAGAAACGGGGGCAAAGUUACGACGGCAGAGGCGCGCGAUUUAGAAAUCGGCACGCGGGUAUCGGGUUUUGUUUCGGGGGAAGGCCGAGUCUCUCGUUCCUCAUCAGCAAACGCGGAAACCAAGACGAGGCGGCGUGGCGCGAGCGCGACCCAUAUACUUGAUGAUAGCGAUUCAUCGUCAGAGCUGAAUACAGUGGUGGUAUACAUAUAUUAGUUUACCCGAGCGGCCCGCGGGGACUUUUGGUCGAUUAGGGUUACAUCUAUCAGCUGUUUAAUCCGUUCUAGAUCCAAGAGUCUGAGAGACGCUUCGAGAUUUUUAUUGCGUGACGAUUGAUAAACGGGAAAGACCAGAUGCUCACGUUGCAUAUUUUUCUUGACUAUUUUAAGAACGCUCGAUAUAUGGCCAUGUCCCGAUAUAUGACUGACCCUCAUAGCGUAUGAAUUAUCGAUCGUAGCUGGCGUACCUCUUAAUAAUUCAAUUCACAUUUACCAUGAGAUAUUUUGAAAAACGAACGAAACAUUUUUUUUGAUCAGUUAUUACUCUUUAUUAAUUCAGCGCUUUAAAUUUUUCAUUUCUUCAGCGAAAAACAACACGUAUUUUCUUUAUUUUUAAUUAUUCGAUAUUUGCGUACGUAUAUAUGUAUAUUUCAUUUUCUGUUCUGAGAAAUUUCUCUUAAAUAUUUUUCAAUUCUCACAUGCGAUCAUAAAUUUAACAAGUCAAGCGCGACAACUUUAAUUUAAUUUAAGAGAACUUCUUCCAAAGAAAUUAAAUUAUGUCUCAGGAAAUGCCCGUUAGAAAAUCUAUAUGUGAGACUUCUAUAAAAAGAUAAAAGAAUUAGCUGCUAGAUCGAAGAGUGCCAGACACAAAUGAUUAUUUCGUUUUGUCAGGCGGGAAGGUCACUCGUGCAUAGUGUUCUCGGGGCGUGAAAUUGAUCGGUGUAAACGCACGAAAUUUAGCUGAUCUCUGGGGGAGGAACCAAAGAUCCACAAAUUUCACGGAUCGUCGAACUCCCACGGCUAAAUAUCCAAGAUGGAAUUCGAAUGCCCGCGCGAAGGAUUAUUCUACCUGCGUGCCGCGCAAGGUCGCCUACCAUUGUUGUGAGAAGUCAAGGAGUCAGUGUGACUGGUCUCUUGGAUGAGAAUGUUUCAAAGCGCCCGGCGACGGUUUUCACGACGUUCCCCCCGUUUAAUAAUCGUCACACGCCCCCUCCCCAUCGCGCGAUGCAUACGGAAGAACACGGGUUCGUUUCACGUUAGAUAGGAUCGUUACACGUGUUGUGAACGUGCAGGAUUUUUGGAUGUCACCGAGCUUUUGGACUUAUGAGAAAGAUUAAUGAUUUUUUUUUUUGUUACUUAAAGACCUGUCGAUGCAUUAAUUUAGUACUGACUUGCAAUUUAUCGAACACGAUUUCAUAUUUUUUGAUUUUUUAACUGUGAUCAAACUGAUAAAUACAGCUCAAGAAAAAUAUUACAUUUUUUUCUUACGCAAUAAAUAUGCAAAUAAUAAAUAAUACAAAUACGUUUAAUAAAUUAUACAUUAAUUGCAUUUUUAGCUUCUUUACUUUUGAAGAAAAGUCGUUUAUAUCACUGCAUACUAACGUUUCUUUCUUUUUUUUUCUUUUUUUUUUAAUCGUGCUUUUGGUUCUUUGCGUAAAAAGAAAAUGAGAGAAGUGAAGGAAUGAGAAACACUGACGGAAGAGGGGAAGAGGGGAAAGAGGCAUCUUUGUAUAGGACCUAGACGAAACAUUAUCUGCAUGGUCGAUCUCCCAAUCUUGAUCCAAGGAAAUCCACUUAAGCUGUGACUUUCACUGGAGGAUUCUCCUCGUAUUCGUAUUAUCAUCCUUCGUGUGGGGACUGUCGUGCGAUGCUUCCCGAAGGUAAAAAAUUUGGAAAUGUUUUAUCAAGCCCGCCCGAAAUGCCACGCUGCUCAUUGACGUCAGUCGUAUAGGUAACGAGCGAGAUUUGAUCGAAUCUCCCGUACAUCGCGUGGGCGUGCCUACGACUCUUCGUUGCGGGGCCAUUUUCACCGAAGAUAUCGCGCAGCUCGAUCGUGCGAUUCGUAGAUCCUCCGCCGCAAAGGUCGCCGAGAUAAAACACGACAACGUAAGACUUAACCCCUUCCGUUUUUCAGGCCGUGCUUCUCUAGCCGCGGAUUGACAGUCGGUCUCGACGUUGAUUCCUGCCGUGUGCACGUGUUUCCGCAUGACUGAGAGCGAAACGGUAGAUAAACGGUGCCGAUAAGCGACAUAUUAAUUGAUCGAUCAAGUGGGCACCAUAAGGAAUUCGCAGUCUCUGAUUUGUAAAUUUUCUUAAAUUAACACUGCGUCUCUCUCGCCGGGACCUGGCUGCACUGUGAAAUUCUACGCAUGAUCGGGUAUCGCUUUUUUUUUUCCCUCGCGAACAGACGGCGGCGGCUCGUGCAGCGGCCUCGUUCCCCGCGAUCGGAAAUCGGCGAAUGUCUAAAUGCGCUUGCGGUCUACCGGCUAAAUUUAAUCGGAAAUGAUGCCGUGUAACUUUCGCUUAUGCUCACUUUUAAGUCGCCCAAACAUUCGUUUGCGUUUUUAUCUUCUGGAGAUUCUUGCUUUCGAAUUUUACGUUACGAUCGGAAGAUCGAGUUGAAGCGAGACUGGAAAUAUUUUACACGCACGAUUAAGUGCGUGACGUAAUCCAACUUGCGCAAUAAUAAAAUGAAAUUAUUACUACUGUGUUGGAUAUUCUAAGUAUACGUAUCAUGAUUCGGUUAGCGCGUUUUACAUAUAUACAUUAUCAUUUUAUUGACAUAUCAAUUUUUUAACGUUCUUUACAUUGUACAAAAAAAGCUAAGUAAUUUUUGUCGACGCAAAGAUUGAUACGUCUUUCUUUUACACACAGUUGAAAAAUUUAUAUUAAAUUUAACACAUAUCGCAGGUCUACUGAAAUUUUUCUGUUAACUGAUUUAACAUAUCACAUGUUAAAGAUUAAUUACAUGUUAAACAGCAAUGUAAAUAUCGUGUUAUAUCCUAACAUAAAAAUAAAUGUAAAUUUUAUAAUUUGACCUAAUUUUUAUGUAACAAGUUAAUGAAAAAAUUAUGUUAAAGUAACAUUUAUAACAUGUUACUUAACACUAUUAUAAUGUUAAUGUUACAUGUAUUACGAGAUUACGUUGAGUUAAAUUUUAACAUGAAAAUCUUAACGAAGAUAUUUUUUAACAAGAAAACACAAAUUUUUCAACUGAAUAUAAGAAGAGAAAACUGUGUAUGCGUUUCUCGAAAGUAGCGCACAUUUGUUCUUUUUGCACGUAACGCAAUUAUCGCUGCUCCAUGAUUCUCUUUUCCUUGGGAUUACAUAAAAAUCAUUGAAAUAGAAUCGUCGAUCACACUUCUUCUCCCGCGCGUAUAGAGGCUGGGCCGAAACUGGUCUCGGCGCAUCCUGCGUCAGAGCGACGUCAAUGUUUCGCAGCCUCGGUCGACGAACCCGACGAAGGCGUACAUCCGACGUUAUUUUCAACGAGCGCCUAUAAACCGCGGCACUUACUCGCACGAGCAAGUUGCAGCGCGGAACGGCCUUAAUCGCCAGCGGAAAGAUAUCGGCAGCGAUGAAGGAUGCGGGAAAUCCCGUAAUUCGAGGUAAUCGUUGAUUUCCCGACGUGUGCCGCAUCAUCCUUUAACUAGGCUUGCCGGGAUUAGUUAUCGAAUUAUCUAAGAUCUUAUUUUAAAACGUUGGUACUUUCACUCUUCGAUUUUCUAUACACUAUGGGAUAAAUUUAUUAUAUAUAUUUUAUUUACGACGUAUUAAUCAUCUGCUUUAUUUUGUUGCAGAUUAUUAAUCUUAAAUAACUAUAAUAAUCUUAUCUAGAUGACUUUGUUGUGCACGGAUGAAAAUGGAUAAAGUUAUUUAGAAUACAUAUAUUGUUAUACAUGUAAUAUCGCAAAUACAUUUAAAGGAGUUUUUCUGCUCAGGCCCGGCAUAACAAGUGGCACAGGAGUUUAAGUGAAAAAAAAAUUUUUUAUGACCAUUUUGUUACCUUCUUUUUUUGCUGUAUAUGGUCUAAAGUUAAUAAUGGUGAAUAUAAGAAAAAUUCUCUACAAAGUUUCAUGAAAAUCUGUUCAUUUUUAUUUAGUAGCGAAACUCCCUUAAAGAAACCAAACUUUUUAAAUAAUUUAAAAAAAUUUAAUCAAAGUUUAAAAAAUAUAUCUAUUACUCGAAAUAUAAUCCUUCAGCACAAGUAUAACAUUGAGCACGAUUGUGUCGGUGUGUGUGUGUAUCUCUCUGUAGGUUUUCCUUUGGGAUCACCUCGACGAUAUUAUUUGCAAUAUACACGGCGCUAUCGUACACAGCAUCGUAUGAGGGCUAAGCACGGAUCAAUGAAUUUUUGUUUCCCUUAUCGUUAAACCCUACGGAAUUCCAUCGAAGCAGAAACUCGAUCACGGUCGAGUUGUGGGUGUCCGAGAUAUCGACUGGCCGCAUCAGAGGAGCCGCUCCUCUUGCCGAAUGUUGUCGGCGGUGCUUUUUUACGUGGCCCCGCCACGUCGAGAGGCGGUAGAUAUCGUUUUACGUGCGAUAAAAGGCGGUUCGUCGUCAAUCGGGAGCAGCGCGGCGUCGAUUAGAGGGAGUCAAAUUUAGCAGAGGUAAUGCGAUCCGCGAAAAUGACCUCUCGUACACAUGCAAUUUGAUGGCGUGGCCGAUGAAAAUUGUAGAUUUUACAUUUGUUCUAUCUCAAAGCUUUAUGUAAAUAAUACGUACAAAAAUCGAUUUGCGUUUUAUGACAAAAAAAAUUAUGCCCAUACAAAGAGAAACAAAAAAAGAAUUUAUUUCUGCAAAAUACAAUCAACUUGAUCUAAAAUUUAGAUUCUAAAUAAUCGUUAUGUAAUUCCAAACGCGAAUGCCGCGAAAGGAAAUAACGCGACAUAAAUUAUAUUUAAAUAAAUUUUAAAAAUGCAAAAGAAUUGCGAGAAUAGAUAAAUCAGGAGAAUAUCUGAAAAAAAAAGUCAAUAUAUUCUUAAGAGAAAUAGUACAUCUGUUUGCAUUGAGAUUGAUCAAUCUCGGCGAUGAAUACAGACGCAUUUUGAUCGACGCGAGCCACCGGUCUGUGCGAUACGAUCUUUACAGACGUUUUACGGGGGCCGUGGCGUAUUACGGCUCAAUUUACAUCGCGGCAACGGGAGUGUGCGAUACUCGACGGCGAUAUUCUUUACGGCAGCCAUCGAGAGUCCGUGUCGCGUCGCCGCGAUGCAACUGCAAUCGCGCUUGUCGUGGCCGCAAUCGCGGCGAACAAUGCCUCGGGAAAACCGACGCGCAUACGUACGUACACAUACGUACGUGUCGGACGUAUAGAGGCGUGGAAUGCUUCCGACGUGGUGCCGGCACGGUUGGAAAUACGUAAAGUUUAAGGGUCGCCGUUUUACGAUGCAUCCGCGUGGGUGCAACCGCGACGUUCGCCAUUAUGCACAAACGUCGGGAAAGCCUUGACGGGUCCGAUCGAUUUUCAUUUGGAAUCCCUGCGCGUAAAUGCGCACAAUGACGGAUUAUGUAAGG